rnacentral:rRNA from 1 species
UACGAAGGGGGCUAGCGUUGUUCGGAAUUACUGGGCGUAAAGCGCACGUAGGCGGACAUUUAAGUCAGGGGAGAAAUCCCGGGGCUCAACCCCGGAACUGCCUUUUAUACUGAGGGUCUCGAGUCCGGAAGAGGUGAGUGGAAUUCCGAGUGUAGAGGUGAAAUUCGUAGAUAUUCGGAGGAACACCAGUGGCGAAGGCGGCUCACUAGCCAGGUACUGACGCUGAGGUGCGAAAGCGUGGGGAUCAAACAGG